UUUCUAUAAAGAAUCAAACUAGCUCACUGUGAUUUAUACAGUGAAAAAAUGUGAACACCUGAGAAAC
rfam:Erinaceus europaeus unplaced genomic scaffold scaffold00420, whole genome shotgun sequence